UGCGCAUCACCUCUUGCUUGUCUAGAUCAGCCCGGACGUUGGCAUGUGUAGCGUAUUUUGUCGGGUUUCGAGAUCAAGAAUCGAUGUCCCUUUGUUGGUUGGUUUUCCGAGAAUCCUUGACCCUUGAUUUGUUACUUUCGCAUCGUUUGGUGCAUGUUUUCCGAGAAUCCUUGACCCUUGAUUUGUUGCUUUCGCAUCUUUCGGUGCAUGUUUUCCGAGAAUCCUUGACCCUUGAUUUGUUACUUUCUCAUCGUUCGGUGCAUUCUGGGGGAUGUUUUGGCUUUUGGUGGCUUACUUGGACUUUUGGCUGGGUUUGUUGCUAUUGGUCGGGCGGCUUUCGGGAAUGUCGCCCGUGGAGGUGCAUGAGUGGUGUUUGGUUUGUUACGUGUGGAUGGCUGUUUGCUUGCGCAACAACGUUCACGCUGCAUACCUCUUCAGUUUUGCGGCAAGGCUUGGUUUGGCUUGUGCAUAUUGUGGGUUUCCUGUGUUGCAUACCUAGUUGAAGGAAAAGUGUGGGUUUUACGAUUUUCAUUUUCGUCUUGCGUCGUUCUUUCGGCAUGGGAUGAGCAAUGAAGCGAUCUUUAUGAUCCAUCGUGCUGUUGUGUUUGCAACAAUGAUGUGGCCUAUGAAGCAUCGUUUGGUCUCUUGUAUACGGAAGCUCAUUUGGGCUUGGGUCUUCAUAAGAUCUUCGUUAUGCCCUUGUUAAGCGUUCUCGCUUCUCCUAAACGAUUG
rnacentral:misc_RNA from 1 species